rnacentral:lncRNA from 1 species
GUGUCGCCUAGGCGAUCGUAUGAAAAAGCUUGUUUCCAACCAUACAAUCUCUUUUCCAACUUGCAGACAAGUAUGGAAUUUCCCUUAGACACCCCAAAAUCUUUGGGUUAAACCAUAUAGACAUCCUCCUCUAGGUUUCCAUGCAAGAAGGUUGUAUGCACAUCCUUCUGUUCAAGGUGAAGACCCUUUGUUGCAACUAUACUUAAUAGAACUCUGAUUCCAGUCAUCUUUACAACAAGUGAGAAAAUUUCAGUGUAAUCAAUGUUGUGUACCUGAUUACCUGUUGAAACCCCUUUACAACCAACCUGGCUUUGAACAUUCUUCCUCCAGAGUCUUCUUUUGAUCCAUAAACCCACAAGUAUGGUAAUUCAGCGAGGCUCCAAGUACUGUUUGCAGUUAAGGAAGCCAUUGCAAGCUCCUACUUGAGUGUAACUUUCAGAUUCAUCUUCAGCUGUUAUAAUGUGUCACCAUCUCUUCCUUAUUGUUGCACAGUAGGCAAGUUGUUUAGAAUCCAUAACAUUAGUCAAACACCUAUAUCAUAACAUUUUACAUUGUAGUAACUAGUAAUUGUUAUUGUAUCGUUUUUCAAUUUUACUACUAAGUAAAUUGUAUUUCUAAGGAGCUUCUUGAAUAAUUUUGGUCAGGCCUAUUAGGUUGGAUUUAUCACCCGAAGAAGAAAUAGUAUGUUCUAUGCAUAUGGAUAUAAUCAGGUAUGUUAUUUGAGACAAUAAUUUUCCAGCAUUUUUCAAUAUAUACUAUCUAAACAACUUUCUGGUUAUUAUUUAUCAGUUUUUUUCCAGUGAGCUCAACAUAGGGUGAGCUCAAAAACGCUCACCCUAUCUGAGCCGUUGGAUGUUGUUGUAGUUAAUCUUAGCCAUCCACGAUUUUGAAACCCACUCCUCUCAGACCCCCAGAAGUCGUUCUAGCUGAUAUAGUAAAGGAUUGCAGAAUAUCUUUUAAAGCUGAUAUCUUUACGAAAGAAUGUGGUUCACAAUUGGAAAGGACUACUAUGCAGGUUUGGGAGACAACCCUCCUGAGACCAAAUUCUUAGUUAGAACACUAGGAAGGAUAAUUACAUAGGAGAAGGUCGAUAUAGUGGAAAUCACAAUAUCAAUUGUAUUUUUAUUUUCCUAUUAAAUUGUAUUU